GUUGAAACACUGCCUCCCCUACGAUCACCGAAGUUAAGCAGCGUCGAGCCUGGUUAGUACCCUAGUGUGUGGCCACUUAGGAAUACCAGGUGCUGUA